rnacentral:misc_RNA from 1 species
AACUUUUGACAACGGAUCUCUUGGCUCUCGCAUCGAUGAAGAACGCAGCGAAAUGCGAUACGUAAUGUGAAUUGCAGAAUUCAGUGAAUCAUCGAAUCUUUGAACGCACCUUGCGCCCCUUGGCAUUCCGAGGGGCACACCCGUUUGAGUGUCAUUGUACUCUCACACUCCUCUGAUCCUUUGGAUUCGGGGAGCGGUGGACUUGGGUGUUUGCUGCUUUCCUUGUGGCUCACCUUAAAUGCGUCAGUGCACCUCUUGGUUGGACAUAGUACGGCGUGAUAAGUGUCUUCGCCGGCACCUCGCAAGAGGGUGGCCGAUCGAGAGCUCUGUGCUUUCAAACCGUCUUCGGACACUUUCUGACAACUUGACCUCAAAUCGAGUAGGACUACCCGCUGAACUUAAGCAUAUCAAUAAGCGGAGGCU